rnacentral:lncRNA from 1 species
AUGGAUUAUUAUUAGUUCGAUUGUCAUUCAUGUCUAAAUGAUCAAACAAAGCCACCCAAAAACAUGAGAACACCACUGAAAUCAACCACGGCGACAAUGGUUAAAGAAGUCUAUGUUAUGAUAUAAAACAAAGAAACUGUAUAGCUGACAUGUUUUUUUCAAUUUUUUAAAAUCUUGAGAAAUCUUGUUUUGCUUCUCUUUCAGUGUCGUGCAUGAGCUUUAAUGAUCCAAGCUGCCUGCAGAAACCUUUCUUGGGCUGCUCUUUUGAGUGAACUGUCCAGUUAUCUGGCAUUCACUCCUUCAUGACUUUGACAGGUUUUGAUGCAUCAGGGGUGGCUGGUUCCCUGGCCGUGCUGUGUGGAUGGGCAGGACGGACCUUUCUUAUAGCGUCGCUUCACUCUCAGCCUGAGGCGACAACCCUCCUUUUCUCCAACCUACCCACUUCCAACCUGCUCCCCUCCCUUCCUGCACCAUUGCUGCUCAAUUACAAUAAUAGCAAUAAUAACCUUAUCUACCCAGUGCUUAAAAGACCAGAAUAAUUAAAUGUGAGAUAAGAUAGUACAAUAAUAAAUAAAGGGGGGUCA